rnacentral:rRNA from 1 species
GACGAACGCUGGCGGCGUGCUUAACACAUGCAAGUCGAACGGAAAGGCCCUGCUUUUGUGGGGUGCUCGAGUGGCGAACGUAUGAGUAACACGUGAGUAACCUGCCCUUGACUUUGGGAUAACUUCAGGAAACUGGUGCUAAUACCGGAUAGGAUCUCCUGCGGCAUGGUGGGGGUUGGAAAUUUUCGGCGGUUGGGGAUGGACUCGCGGCUUAUCAGCUUGUUGGUGGGGUAGUGGCUUACCAAGGCUUUGACGGGUAGCCGGCCUGAGAGGGUGACCGGCCACAUUGGGACUGAGAUACGGCCCAGACUCCUACGGGAGGCAGCAGUGGGGAAUAUUGCACAAUGGGCGGAAGCCUGAUGCAGCAACGCCGCGUGCGGGAUGACGGCCUUCGGGUUGUAAACCGCUUUCGCCUGUGACGAAGCGUGAGUGACGGUAAUGGGUAAAGAAGCACCGGCUAACUACGUG